rnacentral:ncRNA from 1 species
UUAAAAGCUACGACGGAGUAAAGUAAGCUAUUUAUUACCUUUCAGGGAGGAAGAGUCUUGACUGAAAACUCUUCUAUGUGUGGUGAUAGGUGAAGUUCCCUCCCGAGCUGCCGGCUGAACGAAAUCAAGUAGGCUAGGACGGUUCUUCCCCGUUAACAGGAAGGAGGUAUCGGAUGUCAUUCCCGUACCUUUGUCGAGUGGGCCUUUGGCCAAAGUCGGGUGGUAACGCGAGAUUGAACUUCUCGUCCCUUCA